AAGAGAAACAUGCCCUCACGGGUAGAUCUCCCACCCCCUGUUUACAUUACAUCUGUUGCUUUGGCAGGCCUGCCCCUGGGCUGCCGGCUCCGGCCGGCGAGCGCCUGCCAGAGGCCCCACAACUCUUAUUGUCAAUGCCGUCUGAGUACUAUACAAUAGUUA
rnacentral:misc_RNA from 1 species